rnacentral:rRNA from 1 species
GUACACAAAAAUGCACAUGCUGUGAGCUCGAUGAGUAGGGCGGGACACGUGGUAUCCUGUCUGAAUAUGGGGGGACCAUCCUCCAAGGCUAAAUACUCCUGACUGACCGAUAGUGAACCAGUACCGUGAGGGAAAGGCGAAAAGAACCCCGGCGAGGGGAGUGAAAAAGAACCUGAAACCGUGUACGUACAAGCAGUGGGAGCACGCUUAGGCGUGUGACUGCGUACCUUUUGUAUAAUGGGUCAGCGACUUAUAUUCUGUAGCAAGGUUAACCGAAUAGGGGAGCCGAAGGGAAACCGAGUCUUAACUGGGCGUUAAGUUGCAGGGUAUAGACCCGAAACCCGGUGAUCUAGCCAUGGGCAGGUUGAAGGUUGGGUAACACUAACUGGAGGACCGAACCGACUAAUGUUGAAAAAUUAGCGGAUGACUUGUGGCUGGGGGUGAAAGGCCAAUCAAACCGGGAGAUAGCUGGUUCUCCCCGAAAGCUAUUUAGGUAGCGCCUCGUGAAUUCAUCUCCGGGGGUAGAGCACUGUUUCGGCAAGGGGGUCAUCCCGACUUACCAACCCGAUGCAAACUGCGAAUACCGGAGAAUGUUAUCACGGGAGACACACGGCGGGUGCUAACGUCCGUCGUGAAGAGGGAAACAACCCAGACCGCCAGCUAAGGUCCCAAAGUCAUGGUUAAGUGGGAAACGAUGUGGGAAGGCCCAGACAGCCAGGAUGUUGGCUUAGAAGCAGCCAUCAUUUAAAGAAAGCGUAAUAGCUCACUGGUCGAGUCGGCCUGCGCGGAAGAUGUAACGGGGCUAAACCAUGCACCGAAGCUGCGGCAGCGACGCUUAUGCGUUGUUGGGUAGGGGAGCGUUCUGUAAGCCUGUGAAGGUGUACUGUGAGGUAUGCUGGAGGUAUCAGAAGUGCGAAUGCUGACAUAAGUAACGAUAAAGCGGGUGAAAAGCCCGCUCGCCGGAAGACCAAGGGUUCCUGUCCAACGUUAAUCGGGGCAGGGUGAGUCGACCCCUAAGGCGAGGCCGAAAGGCGUAGUCGAUGGGAAACAGGUUAAUAUUCCUGUACUUGGUGUUACUGCGAAGGGGGGACGGAGAAGGCUAUGUUGGCCGGGCGACGGUUGUCCCGGUUUAAGCGUGUAGGCUGGUUUUCCAGGCAAAUCCGGAAAAUCAAGGCUGAGGCGUGAUGACGAGGCACUACGGUGCUGAAGCAACAAAUGCCCUGCUUCCAGGAAAAGCCUCUAAGCAUCAGGUAACAUCAAAUCGUACCCCAAACCGACACAGGUGGUCAGGUAGAGAAUACCAAGGCGCUUGAGAGAACUCGGGUGAAGGAACUAGGCAAAAUGGUGCCGUAACUUCGGGAGAAGGCACGCUGAUAUGUAGGUGAAGCGACUUGCUCGUGGAGCUGAAAUCAGUCGAAGAUACCAGCUGGCUGCAACUGUUUAUUAAAAACACAGCACUGUGCAAACACGAAAGUGGACGUAUACGGUGUGACGCCUGCCCGGUGCCGGAAGGUUAAUUGAUGGGGUCAGCGCAAGCGAAGCUCUUGAUCGAAGCCCCGGUAAACGGCGGCCGUAACUAUAACGGUCCUAAGGUAGCGAAAUUCCUUGUCGGGUAAGUUCCGACCUGCACGAAUGGCGUAAUGAUGGCCAGGCUGUCUCCACCCGAGACUCAGUGAAAUUGAACUCGCUGUGAAGAUGCAGUGUACCCGCGGCAAGACGGAAAGACCCCGUGAACCUUUACUAUAGCUUGACACUGAACAUUGAGCCUUGAUG